GUACACUUUACGUGUUCCGCCGCACCUGACUGUAACACACAUUGUUCGCUGACCAGUCGCUCGUAGUACUUUGCGCUCGUCGGUAUAGAUUGGCAUUGACGUUUGGAUGACGGUGGAGAUGUCAGGUAGUAGAAGAAAAAUGAUGAUUGGCAGAAUUUCAGAACAGCAGAAAGAUAGUGUGUAAAGAUUAUACCGCGAUUAGCCUGUGGGAAUAAUUUACUUAAAGUUAUUACUUAAACUAGUUGGUAUUCGUACUUUCUCUAAAUUGUAAUCCUAAUCUAAACUUAAGUGGUAAGACGGUAAACAUAUUAAAAGAUGAAUUAGAAGCUUAAAAAGAAAUAUCGAAAUUAUAGGUUAGUGAACCAGUAAAUUUGCCCUGAUCGCCCACGAAGAACCGCAGUAUAGCCUAUUUCUAAACUAAGGUAAAUGACUAAAAAUCUAGAAAAGUUCUUUACUAAUUAUUGUGCUAAAACUAUAGGUUUGCUUACUCAAAGAAUGGUAUCUGCUGAUCGAUUGUAACGAACAAAGGAAAUGUACAAACGUAAGUAGAAGAAAAAUUAACCUAUAAAACUAUGUCUAAGUGAGUUCUUCGUAUUCAGGAAAAUUUUAAUCGCUGCGCUCGACACAAUAAACGAUUUAAAGUUUCGGAAAAGUUGUUUCCUUUGUUGCAUCCGCAACAAUCUUAAAAUUUUCGUUUUUCGGAUCGAUCGGAGAUGCCUAGAAGAAGCCGACGACGGAAUCGGGCGCCGGAAGAAAGCAUUCAGCAGACGUGCCUGCUUUGCAACCUUCCGGACAGCAGCGAGAUGGUGAGUUGCGAUAAAUGUGCUCAGUGGUUCCACUUCGAGUGUGUCGGAGUCAACGCGAAUGUGGCCAACAGGUCAUGGAGCUGCCCGGGUUGCUCUCCAGCUACAGAUCCGGCUCCACGUCUGCCACAGUCAUCGACCCCGUCUGCAUCGGAUUCAGGUGAGCCCCAUAUUCAGGCAACUCUAUCGCCACCGCCUGCCAUGCCCAUAACAGUUCCGUCAGUGCCACACCCGCGAACGCCAACCCCUCGCCCUCGUUCGACGCUAAUGCAAAAUCCGCCCCCGCCUACACCUCUUCCGCGUACCCCAAUUCCACGAACAACGUCAGUGUCAGUUGCAGAGGUUCCAGAAGUGCGAAUCGUUGAUCAGGAGUUACCGGAUGAAGUGAAUAUCGUGGAACGACUGCCAGCUGAUCUUCGCCUCCAGUUUCUGGAACAGCAGGAAGCCAUCGAGCAGCGAUAUUUGUUGCGUAGGUUCCAGCUACUGCUAGACAUGCCGACGAACGAGAAUAGUGCGAAUUCGCAAGGUCCCCGCGGAAAUGUUCCGGCAAGCCAAGUUCGUGAUCUUCCUCCAGUGUGCCAUUCUUCGCCAGUUGGUGUCAAUCAGUUGCCUCCACCGCCCACACCGAUGAAUAGGAACGUUUCGCCAUUUGUACCAAUAUCACAUCCAGACAGAUUUGAUGACCCCUCAGUUAUUCCGGCAUUGCUCAACGUUCGACUGGAUGCUUCGACGAUCCCUUUGCGGCAGGUCAAUCAACAACCGAAUUUCCCCGCUUCUCGUCCACCUCAGUCCGUUUUACGUCCUGUUGCUUCGUCGUUCGUUCCGCCUCCGAAUCGUUCACGCUUCAACGAGUUUUCUCAGGCUAAUGGUCAUCAACGCAACCGAACUUCUGCGUUUGCCCCCUUUGAGAGCGAUUCACAUCCCGCGACAUAUAACCCGUCAGCUUUUCACGAUGAUCCAACUACAGCAGGAGGGACGGCGCUGUUGAACAGGAGCCAACUUGCGGCCCGUCAUGCAGUUCCGAAGGAGUUACCCGUGUUCACUGGCGAACCAGAGGAGUGGCCCCUAUUCUAUGCGUCUUUUGAGAACACGACACACCUGUGCGGGUUCACUGCGGAGGAAAACAUGGUGCGUUUGCGUAAGUGCCUACAAGGGAAAGCACUGGAAGCGGUUAAAUGUCAACUGUUGCAUCCAAGCAACCUGGAUCAAGUCAUUGCUACCCUGAAGAUGCUUUUCGGACGCCCAGAAAUCAUCGUGCAUUCGUUGCUGCAAAAGAUCAACGGCCUACCAGCUCCCAAAGCAGAACGUCUCGGAACUCUCGUGGACUUCGCGUUAGCUGUGCGCAACAUGGUGGCCACGGUCAAAGCUUGUGAACUGGAAGAGCAUCUAUGCAACCUCACACUACUUCACAGUUUGUGUGAGCGGCUUCCUCCCAUGAUUCGCCUGAAUUGGGCAACUCAUCGUCAGUCUCUUCGUUCAGUGACAUUGUCUGAAUUCAGUGACUGGUUGUACAAGUUGGCAGAAGCAGCAAGCACCGUAACAAUGCCACAGUUUUCGAACAUUGUCGACAACAAACCUCGUCGGGGAAGAAAGGAGGAUGGAUUCUUGAAUGCGCAUACCGAAACAGCUCAGAAACCGAAGCAAUUAGACAUCAGUUCCGGGUGUCUCGUUUGUCAGGGUAGUUGUGCUACGAUAGACAAGUGUAAGCGGUUUUUGUCUUUCAGUCUUUCUGCUCGCUGGGACGCAUUACGAGAGCACAAGCUGUGUCGUGGUUGCCUUACCACCCACCGAGGCCCUUGCAAGUCAGCGAAAGUAUGUGGGAAAAGUGGAUGCCAGUACAAGCACCAUCGGUUGCUGCACAACGACGCUAAAAGCAAACCGGAAACAUCAUCGUCUGGCUCCCAGAGCCAUGCCAAACAGCAUCAACAAGCCGCUGCUACGGGGUCACAAGAAGUCGAAUCGUGCAACACACAUCGAGGGGGAAGCAAGUCCGUACUAUUUCAGUAUAUUCCGAUUGUGCUCUAUAACAACGGGAUUGAGCUGCAUACCCAUGCAUUUCUGGACAGUGGAUCGUCCCUGACGCUGAUGGAGGAAAGUUUGGCGAAGCAAUUGGACCUGAACGGCGAGAAGAGCCCCCUGUGCCUGCGGUGGACUGCGGAUACCUGCCGAUAUGAGAAGGAUGCUACAAUCGUUUCCCUCAACAUCUCCGGUAUACACGAUGGCAGCAGUCUACAUACUUUAAGGGAAGUCUACACGGUAAAGGAGUUGAAGCUACCGACACAAUCGCUACCUACUGAAGAACUGAUGGACAAGUACUCACAUCUGAAGGGUUUGCCAAUUGAACCCUACUCCAACGUUCAGCCGAAGUUAUUGAUCGGCGUGAGUAACGCAAGGGUGAUGCACGUGUUAGAUGAUCGCGAAGGGAAGCUUGAUGAACCUGUUGCAGUGAAGACGCGUCUCGGCUGGACAGUCUACGGCACGUAUACGUCGGUGAAAGAUUCAGUUCCACGGCUCCUCCCUCACAGCUUCCACGUUUGCUCGCAUUUCCACGGAACGGAUGACAGUCUACACGAAGCAGUUAAAAAUUACUUCGCCCUCGAUAGUCUGGGAAUCAGCGCUCCUCAAAAUCAGCUUCUCUCCAAGGAAGAUGAACGAGCUCUAGCGAUGCUGCGUGAAGUCACGACUUUUCAAGACGGGAGAUAUCAGACAGGCCUACUGUGGAAAUACGAUGACGUGCGUCUACCCAGUAAUCGAUCCAUGGCAUUGAGACGCCAUCGUUGUCUGACCAAGAGGAUGGAGCGUGAGCCGCAGCUAGCCGAAACCCUACGAGCAAAGAUGAAGGACUACGAGCAGAAGGGAUACAUCCGUAAAUUGACACUGGAAGAGAGUCGUAUGAUUGGCGAUCGCACUUGGUAUUUACCGAUUUUUCCGGUGUUCAACCCUAACAAACCGGGAAAGAUCCGGAUAGUCUUCGACGCAGCUGCUUCUUUUGGUUCUGUCUCCCUCAAUUCCGUAUUGAUGAAAGGACCGGAUCAACUAAACGCUUUGCCGCCAGUUCUAUACAAGUUUCGGGAGCGGUUGAUCGGCCUCGGAGGCGACGUUGCUGAGAUGUUUCAUCAGAUAAGAAUGCGACCUGAAGAUGAACACAGCCAGCGGAUCUUGUGGUGUGCUAGUGAUAAUUCCACAGAGCCAUGCGACUACGUGAUGCAGGUAGUAACAUUCGGCGCUACCUGUUCACCCAGUACAGCGUUGUACGUCCUGAAUGAGAAUGCGUCCAGAUUCGAGAACCAGUUCCCCGUUGCUGUUGAUGCUAUCUGCCAUCGUCACUACGUCGACGAUAUGUUGACUAGCGUUGACACGGAAGAGGAAGCGAUCCAGUUAGCAAAUGACGUUCGCUACAUUCACCACCAGGGUGGAUUCCACAUGAGGAACUGGGUGUCAAACUCAUCAGCAGUACUUGAGGCCCUCGGAGAGAAUCCGAAGUCCGAAAAGUCUAUGGAGAUGAAUGCGGAGCUCGCCAUGGAAAAAGUGCUCGGCAUGUGGUGGAACACGACGUCGGAUGCCUUCAGUUACAAGCUCUGUACAGAGCGCAAUCAAGAGCUUCUGUCCGGUGCCAAACACCCCACCAAGCGGGACGUACUUCGUACACUGAUGGCUGUCUACGAUCCCUUAGGACUUAUCGCGCACUACCUAAUGUAUUUGAAGGUACUGUUACAAGAGAUCUGGAGAGCGAAGACCGGGUGGGACGAUCCGAUCGAAGAGAAGCAUCUAGAGAAAUGGAUGACGUGGUUGCGCAUACUUCCCGAGCUGGAGUCCGUCAAGAUACCUCGUUGUUAUUUCCGACACGAGGCAGGAAUCGACAAAGCUACCGUGGAGCUCCAUACUUUCGUAGAUGCCAGUGAAAGUGGCUUCGCGGCCGUGUCCUAUUUCCGCUUUGAAGUGGAUGGCUACGUCGAAUGUGCCCUAAUCGGAAGUAAAACAAGAGUGGCACCUCUCAAGUUCGUCUCCAUUCCACGGCUGGAGUUGCAGGCAGCUGUCAUCGGUACGCGUUUAGCACGGAACAUUGCAGAAGGACAUUCCAUCAAAAUUGAUCGACGCUAUUUUUGGACAGACGCUCGAGACGUCAUGUGUUGGUUGCAGUCUGAUCACCGACGUUAUUCGCAGUUCGUGGCCUUCCGUGUUGGCGAAAUUCUGGAGGCGACGCAUAUCACCGAGUGGAGAUGGCUGGGCACAAAACAUAACGUCGCAGAUGAUGGUACAAAGUGGAAGUUUAGACCAGAUCUCAAGCCAACAAGCCGUUGGUUUACAGGUCCACCGUUUCUAUGGAAGCCUAAGAGCGAAUGGCCAUCGUCAAAUCUGAAUUGUGAUGAAACCACAAACGAACUUCGUGCGAACUAUCUGUACCACAUCGAAGGCAAGGUCCAAACAGUUCUGCAGGCUGAAAAUUACUCAACCUGGCAACGAUUACUACGUGUGACAGCUUUCGUUCAUCGUUUCAUUGAGAACAUCAAACGCAAACAGAAGAAGGAGUCAAUGAUCCUCGGACCGCUCACACAAGACGAACUUUUCGCAGCGGAAUCAUUCCAGUUUCGACAAACCCAGGCAGACGUGUACGGCGAGCAGUUGGCAGCAAUUUCAUCAGCAAAACGGCUGAAGAAGACAGAUAGCCUAUUCAAGCUGAACCCGUUCCUUGAUAAUCACGGAGUGAUGCGCAUCCACAGUCGAUUGGGGGAGUGUGACUUUGUAGACGAAAGUGAACGGAAUCCUAUCGUACUUCCUCGUGAUCAUCCCACUACCCGUCUCAUCGUUGCCAAUGUGCAUCAACGUUAUCAGCAUCAGUGCCAUGAAACCUGCGUAAACGAAGUUCGGCGAGAGUUCUACAUUCCACGAGUACGCAGAGUUUGUGAACAGGUUCGUCGGAGCUGUCAGCAAUGCAAGAUCAGCAGUGCGAGGCCGGAACCACCAGCGAUGGGAUCCCUUCCCAAAGCACGAGUAGCAGCCUUUGUACGUCCGUUUUCCUACGUCGGCGUAGACUUCUUUGGACCCUUUCUCGCCCUAAUUGGUCGUCGACACGAGAAACGCUGGGGUGUGAUUGUUACUUGCCUGUCAACCCGGGCGAUACACCUCGAGUUAGCCCCUUCGCUGAACACAAGUUCCUGCAUUAUGGCGCUACGGAACUGCUUCGCUCGUCGUGGGACUCCUGUAGAGAUUAGAAGCGAUCGUGGAACUAAUUUCGUCGGCGCAGAUAAGGAACUUAAGGCUGCGGUGAUGGCGUUAGAUCAGAACAAGCUGAUGACCGAAUUCAACAGUCCGACAACAUCGUGGGUUUUCAAUCCUCCAGCAUCUCCUCAUAUGGGUGGCUGCUGGGAACGUCUAAUCCAGUCGGUCAAGAAAGUCUUAGCUGCAAUCAAACCUCAGCGAGUGCCCACGGAGGAAGUUCUACGGAGCUACCUCAUUCAGGUCGAAAACAUCGUCAACAGUCGUCCGCUGACACAUGUUCCAGUGGAUAACUGCUCGUCACCGGCGCUGACUCCUAACCACUUCUUGGUAGGAUCGUCAAACGGAUCAAAACCUCUCGUUCCAUACGUGGAUUGUCCAAUAGCGGUUCAGCAGUCUUGGAAGGGGUCAGAAGCUAUGGCAAAUCGGUUCUGGCAUCGGUGGGUAACGGAAUACUUGCCAACGGUCACUCGCCGCACUAAGUGGUUCUACCCAGUGAAGCCAAUUGCGGUAAGCGACGUGGUCGUCAUUGCAGAUCCUGACCUACCAAGGAAUCACUGGCCCAAAGGACGAGUUGUAUCAGUGAAGACCUCUUCGGAUGGACAAGUUCGUUCGGCGGUUGUACAGACUGCUUACGGAUUCUACAACAGGCCUGCGACCAAGUUAGCAGUGUUGGACGUAGGUGCAAACGAAAGUGAGCCGGACCAGGGUCCAACCACCGGGGGGGACUGUUGCGUACACUUUACGUGUUCCGCCGCACCUGACUGUAACACACAUUGUUCGCUGACCAGUCGCUCGUAGUACUUUGCGCUCGUCGGUAUAGAUUGGCAUUGACGUUUGGAUGACGGUGGAGAUGUCAGGUAGUAGAAGAAAAAUGAUGAUUGGCAGAAUUUCAGAACAGCAGAAAGAUAGUGUGUAAAGAUUAUACCGCGAUUAGCCUGUGGGAAUAAUUUACUUAAAGUUAUUACUUAAACUAGUUGGUAUUCGUACUUUCUCUAAAUUGUAAUCCUAAUCUAAACUUAAGUGGUAAGACGGUAAACAUAUUAAAAGAUGAAUUAGAAGCUUAAAAAGAAAUAUCGAAAUUAUAGGUUAGUGAACCAGUAAAUUUGCCCUGAUCGCCCACGAAGAACCGCAGUAUAGCCUAUUUCUAAACUAAGGUAAAUGACUAAAAAUCUAGAAAAGUUCUUUACUAAUUAUUGUGCUAAAACUAUAGGUUUGCUUACUCAAAGAAUGGUAUCUGCUGAUCGAUUGUAACGAACAAAGGAAAUGUACAAACGAAAAUUUUAAUCGCUGCGCUCGACACAAUAAACGAUUUAAAGUUUCGGAAAAGUUGUUUCCUUUGUUGCAUCCGCAACA